rnacentral:misc_RNA from 1 species
UAAUUUAAAUAAAUUAAAAAAAAACCAAAAAAUUUGCAGCAAACCAAUUUCAAAUAAAUACCACAUCAUACAGUAAUUGAUGUUAAUUGACAGAGUAUAACUUGAAAGGUGAAGCCCUUAUCCACACAGAAAAACCUCAAGCAUAGUGCUCUACCAUCCAAGAAUUUGACAGAAAAGACAACAAUUCUGCAUGACUAUAAUCUAGUAAUCAUCAAAACAUAAAUCCCAAUUAAUGAAGAAAACCUUCCAACAUGCAGUAAACUUAAACCAAAGAAACAAAGUAAUAUCUCUAUGUAAAGCUUGAUUUCCAAUCAAAGGAUUAUGUUCUAACCUGCAAAGUUCGAGAUGGGAUCUG